UACGACUGAACAAAUGACCCAAUUCC
rnacentral:piRNA from 1 species